ensembl:lncRNA
UAUCUGCAGCAACCACAUCUUUGUCUUUUUGCUGUCCGAGACAUUAAACCAGGAGAAGAGAUUACUUACAGCUAUGGAGACUGGGAUUGGCAAGCCAAGCGUUCAUCACCUGCUCCUGUGACUGCUACAUCAUCCUCAUCCUCAUCCUCACCUGUGAGGAAAAGUUCAUCACCUGCCCCUGUUACUGCUACAUCAUCCUCAUCCUCAUCUGUGAGGAAAAGUUCAUCACCUGCCCCUGUGACUGCUACAUCAUCCUCAUCCUCAACUGUGAGGAAACGUUCAUCACCUGCCCCUGUGACUGCUACAUCAUCCUCAUCCUCACCUGUGAGGAAAAGUUCAUCACCUGCCCCUGUGACUGCUACAUCAUCCUCAUCCUCACCUGUGAGGAAACGUUCAUCACCUGCCCCUGUGACUGCUACAUCAUCCUCAUCCUCACCUGUGAGGAAAAGUUCAUCAUCUGCCCCUGUGACUGCUACAUCAUCCUCAUCCUCACCUGUGAGGAAACGUUCAUCACCUACCCCUGUGACUGCUACAUCAUCCUCAUCCUCACCUGUGAGGCAGCGUUCAUCAUCUGCCCCUGUUACUGCUACAUCAUCCUCAUCCUCAUCCUCACCUGUGAGGAAAAGUUCAUCACCUGCUCGUGUGACUGCUACAUCAUCUUCAUCCUCACCUGUGAGGAAAAGUUCAUCACCUGCCCCUGUGACUGCUACAUCAUCCUCAUCCUCACCUGUGAGGAAAAGUUCAUCACCUGCCCCUGUGACUGCUACAUCAUCCUCAUCCUCACCUGUGAGGAAACGUUCAUCACCUGCUCCUGUUACUGCUACAUCAUCCUCAUCCUCACCUGUGAGGAAAAGUUCAUCACCUGCCCCUGUGACUGCUACAUCAUCCUCAUCCUCACCUGUGAGGCAGCGUUCAUCAAGAAAAAGACAGGUAUUCGAGUCAUCUGAUGCACCCUGUGCUAUGUGUACCUCUGUAAAGGCAUCACCACCCUCUCGCCCUUCUUCACUCCCUUCAUCAUCAUCAUCAUCAGCUGCCCCUGUGAUGGGCACAUCAUCUUCAUCCUCCCCAUCAUCACCUGCCCCUUUGCCCUGUGAUGCAUCCACUUCUGUGAUCUCUCCAUCACAGGUGUCCCAGACACUCUCAAUAAGGGAGGUUCAUCAAUCCCUUCAAAAAGAAAAUGGGAGGACUCUGAGGUAA